rnacentral:ncRNA from 1 species
UCCUACUCGCCUGUUCUGGGUGCCCUUCACAGGGUGAAACGGGAAACCGGUGCGUCGGCGGAUGCUUCAUCACGCCUGACAAGUCCGGUGCUGCCCCCGCAACGGUAAGCGAGAGAAGCGUCAGAUCCACUGUGCCAGCCGGCAUGGGAAGGUGAUGCUGGAAGGUUCGAGCCAGGCUGGAACCCCUCGCGAGCCCGGAGACCGGCCCGGAAAUAUCGAAUGAC